UCAUACAGCUCAACUGGUAAAGCAUGAGACUCCUUAAUCUCUGGAGGUCAUGGGUUCGAGCCCCAGGUUGGGUGAA